rnacentral:misc_RNA from 1 species
GAUGAAGAACGUAGCAAAAUGCGAUAAGUAGUGUGAAUUGCAGAAUUCAGUGAAUCAUCGAAUCUUUGAACGCACAUUGCGCCCGCCAGUAUUCUGGCGGGCAUGCCUGUUCGAGCGUCAUUACAACCCUCAGGCCCCCGGGCCUGGCGUUGGGGAUCGGCGGAAGCCCCCUGCGGGCACAACGCCGUCCCCCAAAUACAGUGGCGGUCCCGCCGCAGCUUCCAUUGCGUAGUAGCUAACACCUCGCAACUGGAGAGCGGCGCGGCCACGCCGUAAAACACCCAACUUCUGAAUGUUGACCUCGAAUCAGGUAGGAAUACCCGCUGAACUUAAGCAUAUCAAUAAGCGGAGGA